UGGGGAAUCUUGGACAAUGGGGGCAACCCUGAUCCAGCCAUGCCGCGUGAGUGAUGAAGGCCUUAGGGUCGUAAAGCUCUUUCGCCUGUGAAGAUAAUGACGGUAGCAGGUAAAGAAACCCCGGCUAACUCCGUGCCAGCAGCCGCGGUAAUACGGAGGGGGUUAGCGUUGUUCGGAAUUACUGGGCGUAAAGCGCACGUAGGCGGACCAGAAAGUUGGGGGUGAAAUCCCGGGGGCUCAACCCCGGAACUGCCUCCAAAACUAUUGGUCUAGAGUUCGAGAGAGGUGAGUGGAAUUCCAAGUGUAGAGGUGAAAUUCGUAGAUAUUUGGAGGAACACCAGUGGCGAAGGCGGCUCACUGGCUCGAUACUGACGCUGAGGUGCGAAAGUGUGGGGAGCAAAACAGGAUUAGAUACCCCUGGUAGUCCACACCGUAAAACGAUGAAUGCCAGUCGUCGGGUAGCAUGCUAUUCGGUGACACACCUAACGGAUUAAGCAUUCCGCCUGGGGAGUACGGUCGCAAGUUAAAACUCAAAGGAAUUG
rnacentral:rRNA from 1 species